rnacentral:rRNA from 1 species
GACGAACGCUGGCGGCGUGCCUAAUACAUGCAAGUAGAACGCUGAAGGAGGAGCUUGCUCUUCUGGAUGAGUUGCGAACGGGUGAGUAACGCGUAGGUAACCUGCCUGGUAGCGGGGGAUAACUAUUGGAAACGAUAGCUAAUACCGCAUAACAGUAGAUGUUGCAUGACAUUUGCUUAAAAGGUGCAAUUGCACCACUACCAGAUGGACCUGCGUUGUAUUAGCUAGUUGGUGGGGUAACGGCUCACCAAGGCGACGAUACAUAGCCGACCUGAGAGGGUGAUCGGCCACACUGGGACUGAGACACGGCCCAGACUCCUACGGGAGGCAGCAGUAGGGAAUCUUCGGCAAGGGACGGAAGUCUGACCGAGCAACGCCGCGUGAGUGAAGAAGGUUUUCGGAUCGUAAAGCUCUGUUGUAAGAGAAGAACGAGUGUGAGAGUGGAAAGUUCACACUGUGACGGUAGCUUACCAGAAAGGGACGGCUAACUACGUG